rnacentral:rRNA from 1 species
AUUGAACGCUGGCGGCAGGCCUAACACAUGCAAGUCGAGCGGAUGAAGGGAGCUUGCUCCUGGAUUCAGCGGCGGACGGGUGAGUAAUGCCUAGGAAUCUGCCUGGUAGUGGGGGAUAACGUCCGGAAACGGGCGCUAAUACCGCAUACGUCCUGAGGGAGAAAGUGGGGGAUCUUCGGACCUCACGCUAUCAGAUGAGCCUAGGUCGGAUUAGCUAGUUGGUGGGGUAAAGGCCUACCAAGGCGACGAUCCGUAACUGGUCUGAGAGGAUGAUCAGUCACACUGGAACUGAGACACGGUCCAGACUCCUACGGGAGGCAGCAGUGGGGAAUAUUGGACAAUGGGCGAAAGCCUGAUCCAGCCAUGCCGCGUGUGUGAAGAAGGUCUUCGGAUUGUAAAGCACUUUAAGUUGGGAGGAAGGGCAGUAAGUUAAGACCUUGCUGUUUUGACGUGACCAACAGAAUAAGCACCGGCGAACUUCGU